CAAAAUGUAUGGGGGCGUUUCUGUUUUGGGUCACCGGUAAUGCUUGUAAACUUCCGGUUGUCAACUUCUGGACGCUGUGACACUCUAAGAUGCCACUAAACCUAUCAAACAAGUCGUUUUGUAACCUUUGCAAGAAGUUAACAUGAACACAAACGAAUUCGGUGACGAGGUGGUAGUCAACCAUAAGAUUAAACACAUAUACACGCCUGGACGGACCAAGGAAGAGGUCAGAGAUAGCUACAACAGCUGGGCGGAUACGUACGAAAGUGUAGGUCUUCGUGCUACCGUGGGCGGAUACGUACGAAAGUUCGGAAAGGACGAUUCCCGUGAGAUGAACAAUUUUAGCGAAAAAAAGGACAGUAUGAGAAUACCUGACCUGUCGUUGUUUCGAAGCAGCUAAACCUUAAAAAGAUGGUAAAAAACAACGAACGCAAUACAGUCGACGUCUCGAAAGUCUCCAGUCGACAUGAAAAUGAGUAAUAUUUUGUGGGUACAUUAUCUUGUCAAUGAGAGAAGAAUACUUGAGAGAUCCAGAAUAUGACGGUGUAUUGGAAGUCUUGAUUGAAAGUAUGGAGGAAAAAGGAAAAUGGAUUAUAAUAAAGAAAAGCGUGAUUCCUGAUUAUUACGUAGAAAAAGAGGGAAUUGUGUUUGUGUUUAAGAAAACGUAACUUGUACAUGGAAACUUUUCCUUAUUUUGUUUGAUAUGUAACUAUAUGAUAAAAGUGUAAACUUUAAAACAAUUUGUUGAUAUUGAGCAGUCUCAUUUGGUUGGGAAGAUCACUUAUGACAAACGAAAAAACUACAAAAUAAAAACAAAUUCAACUUGC